rnacentral:lncRNA from 1 species
ACCUUGUCUGUCGCCUCUUUCAGCAGAUCCCCUAGCUCGGCGACUUGGGGGACUCCUACUACAUGGUUUGUAUCGCGCUUGACCAAGCCUGAAACUACAAGUAAGCUUCAAGUGAAAUUGAUAUAUUACCUUGUGCAUCUCCACCAGUUAAAGAUACCACCCCUGGAUGGAGGAAGAGUACUUCCAGAGAAGAUGCCACAUCUACCUAUAAGACAGAUAAGGCAAGUGAAGACAAGAGCUUGAACCUAUGUCAUUUGUACUAAAUCAUUCACUUGUACUCACUAAAG